rnacentral:misc_RNA from 1 species
GUUGGUGAACCAGCGGAGGGAUCAUUACAGAGUUGCAAAACUCCCAACCAUUGUGAACCUACCUCAUCGUUGCUUCGGCGGGUGGCCCCCCUCCCUCACCCGGAGGGCGGCCGCGCCGGCCCCGGCUCCCGGGCGCCGGCAACCCCGCCAGAGGACCCCAAACUCUUAGUAACCACUGGCCUCUCUGAGUAAACUUAUACAAUAAGUCAAAACUUUCAACAACGGAUCUCUUGGUUCUGGCAUCGAUGAA